rnacentral:lncRNA from 1 species
CUGCAGAACAGGAGGGAUGGGACAACACUUUCCAAGGACACAAUUAGCUUUUGUUAUCCUUUACAGUGGGACGUGUCCAGCAUGAGGACGGGUGAGGGAAGAGCUGGGGAUUCUCCAACAGAACAGCAUCCUGGUGAUGGAGUCUGUUCCUAUGGCAACACGUGCACAUGCUUCCAAGCAUCCCACACAUAACAGUUUCAGAUUGUAGGUGCCAGAUUUGUAUCUAAAUGUACAGAUCAAUGAUUCUGGAGGGAGGGACAAAAAAAAACAUUUGUACUCCAUAUAGAAGUGGGAAUUUCAGCAAAACUCGCUCUUUGAUAUUAUAUUGGUGUGGACAAUUUUUCAACUACUAACAGUGUAAUUACUCUUAGAAGAAUGUGGGCACAAAUUUGAGAAUCUGCAAGAAGGAACCUGGAUUAUUCAUAUUUUCAAAAGUACCUUAAAUUUCAGUAUGUGGAAAAGAUAUGCAAACUGAUGAUCUGAUCAAGGUCACUCUUUAGUCACCUACACAUUGUACACUGUGCUCCCAUACCCUCAGUUUAACAACAGGUUUUGCAACCUCCGAUUACUACUUAAGAAUUGAGAACAGCAUAAGAAAUUGUGGAUUGUGAUUAUUCCCUUUCAGUCUGAUCUUUAGAUCCAGACAAAAAGCUGAACUGAAUGAAAUUUAGGGGAAAAAGCAUACAUCUCCAUCAGCUGCUAUCUCAGAGGAACAACAUCCAACCAUACCUUUUACAGUCCUCUCUGGAGAGAACACAUAGAACAGACACACAACAAUACUUCAGAGCAGGAAAAAAACAAUUCUGAUUUGCAGCAGCACAUUUGCUGCAGAGUUUUAGCAACAUCAUAAGUUGUGUUUUGAGAGUCAAACACAGAUGGAAGCAGAGUCAUCUUCGCUUCAACAGGAAAACCAUCCUGGAGUCUGAAAGUUGCAUAGAAACAUGGAAAGAACUGCUAAAGAAAAACAGAAAUUUACCUGAUUGGGAAAAUAUGGGCUCAAGGUAAUGUUCUGUAAGCUAACAUUUGAACCCAGCUGGAUUAAGUGAUACCUGAAGCAGCAAACAGCAGCUGCAGUGACAGCCUGCACACAUCUGACAAAUGCUAACAUCAAUAACAGAGGGAUCAAGCGUGUGGGAGUUGAAGCAGGAGCACUGAGAUGAACUUGAGCCACAGAGAGCUUCAGAGGCUUUAUGUGCUGAAACUGGAGUGGAGCUGGCUGUGAACCUCAGGAGUCUGACCUUAUGCUUAGCCUCUUCACAGUUUUUCUAUGUCAAAAUAAAAUACAGAUAUUUUUAUAAUGAGGGGCCAGUAUCUUCUCACCAUCCUCAGUGAGUUGUCACAGAGAUUGCAGCAGAACAGUAUUAACCUGGUAGCAUUAGUUUUCAUCCAUUUUUCAGGCCGGCCCUGCCUAUUUUAUCUUCACCAUUACCUUAUUGCUAUGCAGGAAAAGGGUACUCACUACAAACACAAUUCUGGCUCCUUCACUUUCACCCUGCUGAGUGUCCCCAUGUAGACAAGUCCAGUGAGAGC